rnacentral:rRNA from 1 species
CAAUAGCGUAUAUUAAAGUUGUUGCAGUUAAAAAGCUCGUAGUUGGAUUUCUGGUGGGAGCGAUCGGUCUGGCGCUUAGCGCGAGUACUUGCAUCGUCUCCGGCCAUCCUUGGGGAGAGUCUGUCUGGCAUUAGGUUGUCGGGCAGAGGAUCCUCAUCGUUUACUGUGAAAAAAUUAGAGUGUUCAAAGCAGGCUUAUGCCGUUGAAUAUAUUAGCAUGGAAUAAUAAGAUAGGACUUUGGUACUAUUUUGUUGGUUUGCGCACCAAAGUAAUGAUUAAUAGGGACAGUUGGGGGUGUUCGUAUUCCGUUGUCAGAGGUGAAAUUCUUGGAUUCACGGAAGACGAACUACUGCGAAAGCAUUUACCAAGGAUGUUUUCAUUAA